rnacentral:snoRNA from 1 species
CUGCAGCUAAUCAGGCCUCUUUUCUCUGUGGAGGCCUGGUGUGCAAUGGCUGCAAAAAGCAGCCACAUACACACCAUUGUAAAGCAAUU